CUGCCAGAGCUGUGGAGUGUGACAAUGGUGUUUGUGUCCAAUCUAUCAAACGCCAUUAUCACACUAAAUAGCUACUGUUAGAUA
ensembl:miRNA